rnacentral:rRNA from 1 species
AUUGAACGCUGGCGGCAGGCCUAACACAUGCAAGUCGAGCGAGCGGCGGACGGGUGAGUAAUGUAUGGGGACUGCCCGAUAGAGGGGGAUAACUACUGGAAACGGUGGCUACUACCGCAUACUAUCGGCUAACCCAUAUGGGAUUAGCUAGUAGGUGGGGUAAAGGCUCACCUAGGCGACGAUCUCUAGCUGGUCUGAGAGGAUGAUCAGCCAAACUGGGACUGAUGAACGGCCCAGACUCCCACGGAGGCAGCAGUUGGGAAUAUUGCGCAAUGGGCGCAAGCCUGAUGCAGGCCUGCCGCGUGGAUGAAGAAGGCCUUAGGGUUGUAAAGUACUUUCAGCGGGGAGGCGUUACCCGCAGAAGAAUCACCGGCUAACUCCGUGCCAGCAGGCGCGGUAAUACC